rnacentral:rRNA from 1 species
UACGUAGGGGCUAGCGUUAUCCGGAUUUACUGGGCGUAAAGGGUGCGUAGGUGGUUUCUUAAGUCAGAGGUGAAAGGCUACGGCUCAACCGUAGUAAGCCUUUGAAACUGGGAAACUUGAGUGCAGGAGAGGAGAGUGGAAUUCCUAGUGUAGCGGUGAAAUGCGUAGAUAUUAGGAGGAACACCAGUUGCGAAGGCGGCUCUCUGGACUGUAACUGACACUGAGGCACGAAAGCGUGGGGAGCAAACAGGAUUAGAUACCCGUGUAGUCCCUGAG